UACCAAACAGCUAGCCCCCCAUAAGAUUAAAUUCACCAACAUAAAUUAAGUCUUGAUAACCUAAAAUUUUUAAUUAAAUCAUUUUCACCCCUAGUAUAGGCGAUAGAAAAGGAACUAGGAGCUAUAGACAAAGUACCGCAAGGGAACACUGAAAAAGAAAUGAAAUAACCCAGUUAAGUUAAAAGCAGCAGAGUUAAAACCUCGUACCUUUUGCAUCAUGACUUAGUGAGCAUAUUUAAGCAAAAUGAAUUUAAGUUUAAACACCCGAAACCAAGCGAGCUACUCCAAGGCAGCCUAUUAACUAGGGCACCCCCGUCUCUGUGGCAAAAGAGUGGGAAGACCUUCGAGUAGAGGUGACAAACCUACCGAGCCUGGUGAUAGCUGGUUACUUGAUAAAUGAAUAUUAGUUCAGCCCCCUGGAUUCUUUAUUCCCUUAAGGCCCCGCCUAAUCAAGAUAAAAAGAAUCCUUAGGAGUUAGUCAAAAGGGGUACAGCCUUUUUGAUAAAAGAAACAACUUUAACCUGAGGAUAAAGAUCAUAAUUACACAAGGACUUGUUCUAAGGUGGGCCUAAAAGCAGCCAUCCUUGCAGAAAGCGUUAAAGCUCAAGAACUACAACUCCCGAUAAUUAAGAUUUAUUCACUUAAUCCCUAACAACCACCAAGUCCUUCUAUACUGUAUAGAAAAGAUUAUGCUAACAUGAGUAACAAGAGCCAGAAGCUCUCCAAGCACAAGCGUACAUCGGAUUAGACAACCUGCCGAAAAUUAAUGUCCCCAAACACAGAGUGAAAUGAAAACCCCCUAAAAAACAAGAAAAACUUACAUACUUUAAACAUUAACCUUACACUAGCGUGCUAUAAAGGAAAGAUUAAAAAAAGAGGAAGGAACUCGGCAAACAUGAAGCCUCGCCUGUUUACCAAAAACAUCGCCUCCUGCUAUAAAAGUAUAGGAGGUCCCGCCUGCCCUGUGACUAUGGGUUCAACGGCCGCGGUAUUUUGACCGUGCAAAGGUAGCGCAAUCACUUGUCUUUUAAAUGAAGACCUGUAUGAAUGGCGAAACGAGGGCUCAACUGUCUCCCCCUUUUAAUCAGUGAAAUUGAUCUCCCCGUGCAGAAGCGGGGAUACCACCAUAAGACGAGAAGACCCUGUGGAGCUUUAGAUAUAUAAAGGGAUUAUACCAAAUUUGCCUUCUAAACAGGCUAAACUAAUUAAUAUCCUUUUUGCUGUCUUUGGUUGGGGCGACCACGGGGAAAAAUAAAACCCCCACGCGGAUAAAAAGAACCCGCUUUUACAGAGUAGAGCCUCAGCUCUACAACACAGAACUUCUGACCUUCAGAUCCGGCCAUGCCGAUCAACGGACCGAGUUACCCCAGGGAUAACAGCGCAAUCCUCUUUAAGAGCCCAUAUCGACAAGGGGGUUUACGACCUCGAUGUUGGAUCAGGACAUCCUAAUGGUGCAGCCGCUAUUAAGGGUUCGUUUGUUCAACGAUUAAAGUCCUACGUGAUCUGAGUUCAGACCGGAGUAAUCCAGGUCAGUUUCUAUCUAUGUUGCGCCUUUCUCUAGUACGAAAGGAUCGAGAAGGGAGGGCCCCUGUUACUAACAAGCCCCAACCCCAUCCUGUGACAAACACUUAACCGGACAAGGGGUCGCGAACCCCUUCCGGAAAAAACGGAU
rnacentral:rRNA from 1 species